UACGUAGGGGGCGAGCGUUGUCCGGAUUUAUUGGGCGUAAAGAGCGUGUAGGCGGCCAGGUAGGUCUGCUGUGAAAACUCGAGGCUCAACCUCGAGACGUCGGCGGAAACCAUCUGGCUAGAGUCCGGAAGAGGAGAGUGGAAUUCCUGGUGUAGCGGUGAAAUGCGCAGAUAUCAGGAGGAACACCGGUGGCGAAGGCGGGUCUCUGGGCCGAUACUGACGCUGAGGAGCGAAAGCGUGGGGAGCGAACAGGA
rnacentral:rRNA from 1 species